ACGGAGGAUCCAAGCGUUAUCCGGAUUUAUUGGGUUUAAAGGGAGCGUAGGCGGACUAUUAAGUCAGCUGUGAAAGUUUGCGGCUCAACCGUAAAAUUGCAGUUGAUACUGGUCGUCUUGAGUGCAGUAGAGGUAGGCGGAAUUCGUGGUGUAGCGGUGAAAUGCUUAGAUAUCACGAAGAACUCCGAUUGCGAAGGCAGCUUACUGGACUGUAACUGACGCUGAUGCUCGAAAGUGUGGGUAUCAAACAG
rnacentral:rRNA from 1 species